AUAUGGUCAAGCGAGAAUAGGUUUAUGGCGAAUGCCUAUGGAGCUAAGAGGCGAAGAAGGCCGUGGUAAGCUGCGAAAAGUUCCGUGUAGGAGCACACAUCCUGUGAUACGGAAAUAGCCGAAUGGGGUAACCCGUUAGUAGUGAUACUGACAUUACGCUCUUGAAUAAAAUAGAGAGGUAAAGCGAUACUGAGUGAACUGAACCAUCUAAGUAACUCAAGGAAAAGAAAUCAAGUAAGAGAUUCCGAAAGUAGCGGCGAGCGAAAUUGGAGGAGCCUAAACCCUUUAAAGGGAGUUGAAGGGCUGCAUCGGCGUAGGACCGACAAGUUACAAAUUCGAUUUAUAGCAGAAAGGUUUUGGGAAAGCCUGGCGCAGAGGGUGAAACCCCCGUAAGUGAAAUAAAUCGGACUUGUUGAUGCAGUACCUGAGUACGGCGGGGCACGAGAAACCCUGUCGGAAGCCGGGUCGACCACGAACCAAGGCUA
rnacentral:rRNA from 1 species